AAUGAUUAAAGUAAAAAGAGAGUGGAUUGUGAGGUCCAUGUUUGACUGCUUUUGUUGAUUGGAAAAUUAGAAAUAGUAGGGUAAUAAUAAAAGGGGUAGUAAUAAUAGUAAAAGGGUAGAAGAUGAGAGAGUCUUGCUUGGGAUAAAUAGGGGUCAUUAUAACACUUAAAAGGGACGGAAUUUUGGAGAGAUAAAAAAUUUCAAAACUUAAGAGUAAAAGGGAGGUCUUUUUUUUACCGCUGAAUAUCAGAACUAGUACUAUUACUAUUUCACUGGUUAUUGUUGGAUUUUUUGCUUGGUUUUUAAAUCUAUUCCUGGGGUCUUCCUGCACCGUUUGUUGCUAGUUUAUUGCUUUGGUUGCUGAACAUGUUGUUGUGUUGUGCUACUGCUGCACUACUGACUUCUUCCUCUUCUUUUCUUUCCAAAUACAAGGUACACGACUGUAACACUGGCUAUUGUAAGCUGAAAAAUGUAGAAGCAU
rnacentral:lncRNA from 1 species